UUUCAACAAUUUCAAAAUGGCAGUUACAUUUUGAUGGUUCUGGUAGUGUUACCAAUUUUAUUGAGCGUGUAGAGGAGUUGGGUUUUGCUUGUGGAAUAUCUUGGAAUCAGCUGCUGCAUUGUGCAGUAAUUUUAUUUUCGGACACAGCCUUGUCUUGGUAUAGAUCUAUACGCAGUGAUAUCAGGUCAUGGGAAGAAUUGAAAUGUAAACUUAGGUCUGCCUAUUUAUCGUCAGAAUAUGAGGAGGAUAUUUGGUGUGAUAUAAGGAAUAGGACACAAGGUCCAGUGGAGAAGUCGGUAAUCUUUAUUGCACAAAUGCGAAACUUGUUUCGAAAGUUACGUGAACCUCCAUCCGAGGAAAUGCAACUUCGCAUUAUACGCCGAAAUUUGCUCCCCUCAUUGCAAAAUCAACUUGCACUUCACAAUUUCACCAACAUCACAGAGCUGGAACUUGCAGCACAAGAGAUUGAGAACAUCCAAUUGCGAACUCAACGCAUGCAACCUCCUCCAGUAAACCCUAAUAAUGUCGCCGAGCCUGAGUUGAUGUAUCAGCGACCAAGAAACCCUCGUGUACAUACAAUGAAUUCUUCACCGCACCUUCAGAAUUCUCGUGGUCCGGUGGUUUGUUGGAAUUGUCGUAGUACUGGCCAUUUGAGUAGUACUUGUCCACAACCCUUUCGUCGACACUGUUUCCGUUGCGGUCGGAAAAAUGUGACUACCCGUUCAUGUCCAAAUUGUAGUAGGUCGGGAAACCCAAGGGCGAACUGUUAGUUAGUCGAGAGAUCAGUUCGAUUCCUAAGGUCUCGACUAGUAACCCCAGCUACCCUAUUCUAGAUUACGCCUUCGCACAGUGCAAGGGUGAUGAUCGUCCUCAUCUCGAAGUCUCGAUAUUUGGUAUGAAAUUUAUUGGCUUAUUGGAUUCUGGAGCAAAUGUUACUGCUAUUGGUUUAAGCAUAUGGAAUAUAUUACAACGUUCAGACAUACAAUUGUUAUCAUCACCUUUUUUUCAGUGCAAUUUUGGAAAUCAUAGUUCUAGUAAAGUGAUUGGCGCAAUUAACUUACCUAUUGUUUUGUAUGAUAAGGUAGCGGUUUGCAGUGUUUUGGUAGUGGAGAAAUUGAGUUGUCCAUUGAUAUUGGGUACCGAUUUUUGGAAAACUGUUGGUGUCGUUCCUGAUUUGCAAAAUGGUUGUUGGUAUUUUGGUGUGCCGUCUCAGGACAUCUGUAUCACUGAAGCCAUUAUUCCUCAGGAAACUUUAACCCCAGAACAGCGAUCCGCCUUGGAUAAAUUGACUUCAAAAUACUUUUCUUUAAUGGGUGGUAAGCUUGGUCGAACAGAUUUAGUGAAGCAUCAGAUUAAUACUGGUAAUGCCCAAACCAUUCGUUUGCGCCCUUAUAGAUACUCACCCGCCACUCUAAAGAUUAUCGAUGAGGAGGUUGAUAACAUGCUGCAACUCGAUAUUAUCGAGCCAUCACAAUCUGCCUGGUCUUUCCCUGCCUUAGUAGUACCGAAAGGUAAUGGUAAAUGGAGAUUUUGCGUGGACUAUCGAAAACUAAAUUCUGUUACGGCUAAGGAUGCUUAUCCGAUCCCUUUUAUUGAUAGUAUUUUGGACAAAUUAAGAAAUGCAAAGUAUCUUACUUCGUUAGAUGUUAACUCUGCAUAUUGGCAAAUCGUUGAUGAACAUUCACGUGAUAAAACUAGUUUUUCUGUCCCUGGUCGGGGACUUUAUCGAUUUAAGAGAAUGCCAUUUGGGUUGACGAAUGCCCCUGCAACUUGGCAGCGAUUGGUAGAUACCUUAUUGGGAGCUGAUUUGGAGCCACAUGUCUUUGUUUAUUUAGAUGACGUAAUCUGUAUUUCUGAGACUUUUCAGCAACAUUUAGAGGUUUUGGAAGAGAUUUUCCAGAGAUUUCAUAGAGCCGGUAUAACACUCUCUCAGGAUAAGUGUAAAUUCUGUCGAUCCGAACUUAAGUAUUUAGGAUAUGUUGUCGAUAAAGAUGGACUUCAUGUCGACCCGGAUAAGGUGACAGCCGUAUUGAACAUUCCGACUCCAAAGAACACCACCGAAGUCCGACGUGUCAUCGGUAUGGCGUCCUGGUACAGGCGUUUUAUUCCUCAGUUCUCAACCGUUAUUUCUCCCCUUACCGCUCUUCUUUGUAAACACAAAAAGUGGAACUGGACCCCAGAAUGUCAAAAUUCGUUUCAGAACAUCAAAAAUUCGUUAGUUUCCGCUCCUGUACUUACUUGUCCUGAUUUCUCGAAACCCUUUUUGGUUCAGACUGAUGCCUCAGCGUAUGGGAUCGGUGCUGUAUUAUCUCAAGAGUUUGAUGAUGGUGAACAUGUUAUCUGUUACAUAUCUCGAUCUCUGUCUAAAGCAGAGAGGAAUUUUUCCACCACAGAGAGAGAACUGUUGGCCAUUAUUUAUGCUUGCGAGAAAUUACGACCCUACUUAGAGGGAUACUCCUUUAAAGUGAUAACAGAUCAUCAUAGUCUGAAAUGGAUUCAUAGUCUGAAGGAACCAACAGGACGGCUUGCCAGAUGGGUUUUGCGGUUGCAACAAUUCGAUUUUGAGGUUAUUCAUAGAAAGGGCCAAGAUCAUGUUGUGCCGGAUGUUCUCAGUAGAGCUGUGCCAGAGAUUGCUAAAUUGAGUGUAUACCAGGAACCAGAAGUUGCAGAUAAGUGGUAUCGAAGAGUUUUCAAUCAGGUCGUAGAGAAUCCUAUUAAUUAUCCCCAAUGGCGAAUUGAAGGAAAUUUACUUUACAAGUAUGUGAAAUGUUCUUACCCGUCUCUUCGAGAUGAUGAAGAUUUCUGGAAGGAAGUAGUACCCAAGGAUCGAAGACGUAUGAUUUUGGAAGAAAAUCAUGAUCAUCCUUUGGCUGGUCAUGGUGGUGUCAUGAAGACAUACGAACGAUUGAAGCGUCGUUAUUAUUGGCCAAAAAUGAGAGCUGAUGUCCUCCGAUAUGUUAGGCAUUGCGCCAAAUGUAUUUCGCAAAAGCCCCUCCGGGAGCGACACGGAUUAAUGGGACAACAAACUCAAGUUUUGAAGCCAUGGAACACGAUUAGCGUCGAUCUUUUUGGGCCCUUGCCUCGUUCUACUCAGGGAUACAAAUACGUAUUGGUCGUCUUGGAUACCUUCACUAAAUUUCCUUUGUUCUUCCCUCUUUGCUCAGCUAAGGCCCCUAUGAUUUGUCGUCUUAUAGAGGAACAAGUUUUUCUCAUUUUUGGUGUUCCCCAAUUUCUUAUUUGCGAUAAUGGUGCUCAAUUUCGAGGUGAACUUUUUUCCAAACUGUGUGAGCAGUAUAAGGUCAAUAUCCGAUAUACUCCGGCUUAUCAUCCCCAGGCCAACCCCGUGGAGCGUGUGAAUCAAGUCCUUAAAACCAUGUUAAGUUGUUAUAUUGAGGAUAAUCAUAAGAAUUGGGAUCGACUUCUACCUAAGGUUGGUUCUGCCAUAAGAUCUUCGGUGCAUGAAGCCACCGGGCUCACUCCCUAUUUUAUGAAUUUUUCCAGAGAAUAUAUGCCCUCGGGCGACCAACACAAUAAUAGGGAUGUUCCCAGUAUCACGGUUGGCGACUUUAUGGCACGUUCACGUGAAUUAAGUAAAGUAUAUAGGGACGUUGAGGAAAGACUGAAAGCGGCGCAUCAGAGAUCAAAGAAUCGUUAUAAUCUUCGACGAAGACCAAUUAGUUUUGAGAUCGGUGAGCGAGUUUAUCGCAAAAAUUACGAUCUUUCUGAUGCUAGUAAAAACUUUACCGCCAAACUCGCACCAAAAUUUUUGGGCCCCUUUACAAUAAAGAAGAAGUUAUCUCCGGUAGUCUAUGAACUGAUUGACGAAAAGCGCAAGUUUAAGGGUGCUUGGCAUGUUAAAGAUUUGAAAAAGAUCCCAAAAGAAGAGCUACUCGUUGAUUCCGAUUCCGAUUAGACUUUAUCGAUUUUGCUUACUGGUCGGGACGUAUGUUUUUUUUUUGUGUUUUACUUAUUAGUUCUUUUGAUUUUUCAAUUCUAAUAUAAUUUCUUUUUCUCCAGUUUCUUUCCUCAAAGCUGUGCGGACUGGGUAUUUUGAUGUUUUUGCGGUUAUUGGAUAGUAGCUACCUUGUUUGUUUUUCUCUUUCUAGUGAAGUUUCUUGUGGUAAAGGCCUACCACUUGAAGCAUUUUAGAUUUCCGAUUAGGAAUUCUAUCAGAAAUUACUAGAAAUUUUGUGUUAUUUGGUAUUUCGUUGGUUAUUAUAGUAUUAUUAUUUCAUGAGUCAAUCAAUUUGAAGUUUUAAUUUUUCUGACUUAUUUUAAUGCUUGAAUAGCAUUUUUAAAUAAUUAGAUUGUUCGCACAUUCUUUACUUCCCUUCCCAGUUGGAUGCUUACUUCUCUUCGCAUGAGAAUUACUUUUCUGGUAAUUCUCUUGGGGGAAGAGGGGGAGUUGUUGCAGGAUUAAUUACGCUUUAGACGGGAUCUGGAGAAUCCUAACUUUUAUUCAUUUGGUUAAAAUAUUUAAAAAUGACUUUAUUCUAAAUUUUUCUUUCAAAACUGAGACACCCACCAUAAUUACAAUUGCCUUCGACUCUUAAUGGAAUUCGCCAAUAUUUUUCAUUAAACCACUAUCAAUAUUAUCACCAUUUUAAUUCUUUGUUAUUGUUUACAAUAUGCGGUGCAUGGAGAAGAUUUCACGGCAAUUGAAUUGGUCAACCGGUUUACUAAAGCGGACGCCAGUGGCGCCGCGUGUCGAAUUAUUACGAUUUGGCCCGUAAUUGUACUUUCCACUAGGCACUCUAUGGUUUGCUUAUUAGUGACCUAUGUAUGGGUUUUGGUUGGGCCCAUAGCGGCUAAACCCAUAAAGUAAUGAGUGAAGUUCCUCAAUCUCCGGUCUUGCGCCCAGACGUCUUUUGGACUACUACUUAAGCAGUUCCGCGACGCAUCUGGGGGUCUUUCCAGCUCCUGCGUCCGUCAAGAGUGUACCGUGCUGCCCGCUGUGACGGAGAGAGGUUUGAAAUAAAUCUAUUAUCAUCUCUCUCCGCCAGCACCUUUUUUGUUAAAAUAACAUCUAAAACUAAAAUGCAUUAGUGUUUCUUCAGUUUCAACGAAAUAUUUUUGAAGCAGGAUGGGUUUUAGUAGUUUGAUGCCUCUCGAAACUUCGGCUCCUUAAAUAUGACAGUGUAAACCGCCAGCCGUGACCCAGCAGUGAUGAGGAUUUCGCCCUGAAGCCUGAAAAAUAAUUUCGCCCUUAGCCCCGUCAACACACAUCAUGCCGUAAGCCCUAUGUGGUGAAAAAUUGCCCAUCGCGGGCUCUCGCCCCCGAAAGAAGAACACCAUGGAACUUGACC